rnacentral:rRNA from 1 species
GAUGAACGCUGGCGGCGUGCCUAAUACAUGCAAGUCGAGCGAACAGACGAGGAGCUUGCUCCUCUGACGUUAGCGGCGGACGGGUGAGUAACACGUGGAUAACCUACCUAUAAGACUGGGAUAACUUCGGGAAACCGGAGCUAAUACCGGAUAAUAUAUUGAACCGCAUGGUUCAAUAGUGAAAGACGGUUUUGCUGUCACUUAUAGAUGGAUCCGCGCCGCAUUAGCUAGUUGGUAAGGUAACGGCUUACCAAGGCAACGAUGCGUAGCCGACCUGAGCGGGUGAUCGGCCACACUGGAACUGAGACACGGUCCCGACUCCUACGGGAGGCAGCAGUAGGGAAUCUUCCGCAAUGGGCGAAAGCUUGACGGAGCAACGCCGCGUGAGUGAUGAAGGUCUUCGGAUCGUAAAACUCUGUUAUUAGGGAAGAACAAAUGUGUAAGUAACUAUGCACGUCUUGACGGUACCUAAUCAGAAAGCCACGGCUAACUACGUG